UACGGGGGGGGCAAGCGUUGUUCGGAAUUACUGGGCGUAAAGGGCUCGUAGGCGGCCAACUAAGUCGGACGUGAAAUCCCCAGGCUCAACCUGGGAACUGCGUCCGAUACUGGAUGGCUUGAAUCCGGGAGAGGGAUGCAGAAUUCCAGGUGUAGCGGUGAAAUGCGUAGAUAUCUGGAGGAAUACCGGUGGCGAAGGCGGCAUCCUGGACCAUUACUGACGCUGAGGCGCGAAAGCUAGGGAAGCAAACGGG
rnacentral:rRNA from 1 species